rnacentral:ncRNA from 1 species
CCUUAUCAAGAGUGGCUGAGGGAAUAGGCCCGAAGACGCCCGGCAACCUAUGUGCUUACGAAAAAGCGAAGCAGAAAAGGUGCUAAAUCCUACAGGGAUACCGCAGAAGGUUUUCCUGAAAGAUGAGG